rnacentral:rRNA from 1 species
UACGAAGGGUGCAAGCGUUGUUCGGAAUCAUUGGGCGUAAAGAGCGUGUAGGCGGUUAGGUAGGUCCGUUGUGAAAACUCGAGGCUCAACCUCGAGACGCCGAUGGAAACCAUCUGACUAGAGUCCGGAAGAGGAGAGUGGAAUUCCUGGUGUAGCGGUGAAAUGCGCAGAUAUCAGGAAGAACACCAAUGGCGAAGGCAGCUCUCUGGGACGGUACUGACGCUGAGACGCGAAAGCGUGGGGAGCGAACAGG